GACGAACGCUGGCGGCGUGCUUAACACAUGCAAGUCGAACGAGACGAUUGAAAGCUUGCUUUCGAAAGUCGAGUGGCAAACGGGUGAGUAACGCGUAGACAACCUGCCUUUGAGAUGGGGACAACAGUUCGAAAGGACUGCUAAUACCGAAUGUUGUAUAUUUUCCACAUGGAAGAUAUAUUAAAGAUGGCCUAUAUUUAUAAGCUAUCGCUCAAAGAUGGGUCUGCGUCCGAUUAGCUGGUUGGUGGGGUAACGGCCUACCAAGGCGACGAUCAGUAGCCGGUCUGAGAGGAUGAACGGCCACAUUGGGACUGAGACACGGCCCAGACUCCUACGGGAGGCAGCAGUGGGGAAUCUUCCACAAUGGACGAAAGUCUGAUGGAGCAACGCCGCGUGAGUGAAGAAGGGUUUCGGCUCGUAAAACUCUGUUGUCGGGGACGAAUGUGCAGUAUUUGAAUAAAGUACUGCAAUGACGGUACCUGACGAGGAAGCCACGACUAACUACGUGCCAGCCGCCGCCGUAA
rnacentral:rRNA from 1 species